GACGAACCGUGCGAACGUUGUUCGGAAUCACUGGGCUUAAAGGGCGCGUAGGCGGCUCAUCAAGUCCGGGGUGAAAGCCCCCCAGCUCAACUGGGGGAAGUGCCUGCGGAUACUGGUGAGCUCGAGGGAGGUAGGGGCGGAUGGAACUUCCGGUGGAGCGGUGAAAUGCGUAGAGAUCGGGGAGGAACACCAGAGGCGAAGGCGGCAAGGCUGGAUGGGGCACCUGACACUCAACUGCGAAAGCGUGGGGAGCAAACACGG
rnacentral:rRNA from 1 species